CUUUGUUGUCUUAUUUCAUUUCCAUCAUCAUAGAUUACAAAAUCAUAACUUUAAAGUCCAUGGAAUUAGGGAAAACAGAAGAAGAAAAAUAAUUAUUGAGUACAUGCACAAAAACUAAAUGACAACAAGUGAAAUAUUCUAGCAUGAGGUAUAUUGUACAAUUCUCUUGCUAGAGAAAGAACUCAUUUAUCCCAAUUGUACACAUUUGCCUUUACGACACCUAACAUUAGAUCCAUAAAAUUUUGGACAAUCUUUAUCUGUUUUACAGCCUGGAAUAAAAUGACUAAAAGCAGAAUUAGAUAAUGUUAUGCCAAGAAAUAUGGAAAGAAAUAGAAUUAUAACAUAAACUAACUUCAUAGUUUCAGCCAUA
rnacentral:lncRNA from 1 species